rnacentral:tRNA from 1 species
GGAGGGGUGGCAGAGUAGGUUGAAUGCGAGGGAUUGCUAAUCCCUUGAUUGUGGAAACACGGUCCGGAGGUUCGAAUCCUCUCCCCUUCG